rnacentral:rRNA from 1 species
CGCCUUAUACUCCUACGGGAGGCAGCAGUGGGAAUUUUGGACAAUGGGGGCAACCCUGAUCCAGCAAUGCCGCGUGAGUGAAGAAGGCCUUCGGGUUGUAAAGCUCUUUUGUCAGGGAAGAAACGGUAGUAGCUAAUAUCUAUUACUAAUGACGGUACCUGAAGAAUAAGCACCGGCUAACUACGUGCCAGCAGCCGCGGUAAUACGUAGGGUGCAAGCGUUAAUCGGAAUUACUGGGCGUAAAGCGUGCGCAGGCGGUUGUGUAAGUCCGAUGUGAAAUCCCCGGGCUCAACCUGGGAAUUGCAUUUGAGACUGCACGGCUAGAGUGUGUCAGAGGGGGGUAGAAUUCCACGUGUAGCAAUGAAAUGCGUGGAUAUGUGGAGGAAUACCGAUGGCGAAGGCAGCCCCCCGGGAUAACACUGACGCUCAUGCACGAAAGCGUGGGGAGCAAACAGGAUUAGAUACCCCAGUAGUCCACGUACCA